rnacentral:rRNA from 1 species
GUGAGUAACACGUGGAUAACCUACCUAUAAGACUGGGAUAACUUCGGGAAACCGGAGCUAAUACCGGAUAAUAUUUUGAACCGCAUGGUUCAAAAGUGAAAGACGGUCUUGCUGUCACUUAUAGAUGGAUCCGCGCUGCAUUAGCUAGUUGGUAAGGUAACGGCUUACCAAGGCAACGAUGCAUAGCCGACCUGAGAGGGUGAUCGGCCACACUGGAACUGAGACACGGUCCAGACUCCUACGGGAGGCAGCAGUAGGGAAUCUUCCGCAAUGGGCGAAAGCCUGACGGAGCAACGCCGCGUGAGUGAUGAAGGUCUUCGGAUCGUAAAACUCUGUUAUUAGGGAAGAACAUAUGUGUAAGUAACUGUGCACAUCUUGACGGUACCUAAUCAGAAAGCCACGGCUAACUACGUGCCAGCAGCCGCGGUAAUACGUAGGUGGCAAGCGUUAUCCGGAAUUAUUGGGCGUAAAGCGCGCGUAGGCGGUUUUUUAAGUCUGAUGUGAAAGCCCACGGCUCAACCGUGGAGGGUCAUUGGAAACUGGAAAACUUGAGUG